GGGGAUUUAGCUAUGCAGCGUAAGCGCCUGCCUUGAAAGCAGGCAGUCAUGAGUUCAAUCCCUA
rnacentral:tRNA from 1 species